GGGGGUAUAGCUCAGUGGUAGAGCAUGUGCUUAGCAUGCACAAGGUCCUGGGUUCAAUCCCCAGUCCCUCCA
rnacentral:tRNA from 1 species